UACGUAGGUGGCAAGCGUUGUCCGGAUUUAUUGGGUUUAAAGGGUGCGUAGGCGGCCUUGUAAGUCAGUGCUGAAAUAUCCCGGCUUAACCGGGAGGGUGGCAUUGAUACUGCAGGGCUUGAGUAAAGUUGAGGUUGGCGGAAUUGACGGUGUAGCGGUGAAAUGCGUAGAUAUCUGGAGGAACACCGGUGGCGAAGGCGGCAUCCUGGACCAACACUGACACUGAGGAGCGAAAGCCAGGGGAGCAAACGGG
rnacentral:rRNA from 1 species